GGUCCCGUAGCUCAGUUGGUUAGAGCGUCGUACUAAUAUUCCUCAACGAGGUAUAUUACGUAACAAAGCUACGUCUAAUGCGAAGGUCGCGAGUUCGAAACUCUCCGGGACCA